UGUUAUCUUCAGGGUCUGGUGAGAAAGAUCAUCCGAAUCUUUCAAUUCCGAACCGGCGGUAAUCUCCUCAUGAGGGGAGUGAGCCCGCGAGCCGUAGUGGUUGAUCCGGUGAGAAUCCGGAGCCGACAGUACAGUCUGGAGGGGAGAAGUAACGG
rfam:Firmicutes bacterium ML8_F2 scaffold_0, whole genome shotgun sequence.